UACGAAGGGGGCUAGCGUUGCUCGGAAUCACUGGGCGUAAAGCGCACGUAGGCGGCUUUUUUAAGUCAGGGGUGAAAUCCUGGAGCUCAACUCCAGAACUGCCUUUGAUACUGGGAGCUCGAGUCCGGGAGAGGUGAGUGGAACUCCGAGUGUAGAGGUGAAAUUCGUAGAUAUUCGGAAGAACACCAGUGGCGAAGGCGGCUCACUGGCCCGGUACUGACGCUGAGGUGCGAAAAGCGUGGGGAGCAAACAGGG
rnacentral:rRNA from 1 species